CUUUCGGGAUACGAUAAUUCUUUUUUCGAAUUUCGGGACCUCUGGAUUUCGUGUUUUUAAGCCCGGGAUUUCGGGAUUUCGUGUUUUUAAGCUUGGGAUUUCGGAUCAGUACCCCUCCUACCCUCCCUCAUAAUUUGACUUUCAUGUGUCACGUUUACAAAAAAUACGCCUCGACAAUCCCGAGUCCCGCUCAGACCCCCC
rnacentral:lncRNA from 1 species